GAAAUGCGAUACGUAAUGCGAAUUGCAGAAUUCAGUGAAUCAUCAAAUCUUUGAACGCAAAUUGCGCUUUCUGGAUAGGCCAGGGAGCAUGCCUCUUCGAGCAUCGCUUUCACCUCUGCUCGACUGCGCUCUUUUAGGAGAGCUGCGUGUCGGAAAAUGAGUUUUGUCUCAUUCGCUCAUGAAUGAGUCACUUGAAAUGCGGUGAGCUCAUCACGCCUCUCAGCGGUCGUUCGAUUGCUGUCGAUGUGUGCUAUGGAUAAAUUUUAUUCAAUGGCGCCAUUGAUUUGAUUGAACAUUUAUGACUACUGAUGAACAGUGAUUGAUCUCAGUGGAAAUUAAACGGAGCACUUCACGGUGUUCUAUUUGAAUUAGAUCUCGAAUGAAGCAAGAGUACCCGCUG
rnacentral:misc_RNA from 1 species